GGAGGAAUGGCUGAGCGGUUGAAAGCGGCGGUCUUGAAAACCGUUGUACCGAGAGGUACCGUGGGUUCGAAUCCUACUUCCUCCGCCA
rnacentral:tRNA from 4 species